AUUGAACGCUGGCGGCAGGCUUAACACAUGCAAGUCGAGCGGGGUGAUGGUGCUUGCACUAUCACUUAGCGGCGGACGGGUGAGUAAUGCUUAGGAAUCUGCCUAUUAGUGGGGGACAACAUCUCGAAAGGGAUGCUAAUACCGCAUACGUCCUACGGGAGAAAGCAGGGGAUCACUUGUGACCUUGCGCUAAUAGAUGAGCUUAAGUCGGAUUAGCUAGUUGGUGGGGUAAAGGCCUACCAAGGCGACGAUCUGUAGCGGGUCUGAGAGGAUGAUCCGCCACACUGGGACUGAGACACGGCCCAGACUCCUACGGGAGGCAGCAGUGGGGAAUAUUGGGCAAUGGGGGGAACCCUGAUCCAGCCAUGCCGCGUGUGUGAAGAAGGCCUUAUGGUUGUAAAGCACUUUAAGCGAGGAGGAGGCUCUUUUGGUUAAUACCCAAGAUGAGUGGACGUUACUCGCAGAAUAAGCACCGGCUAACUCUGUGCCAGCCGCCGCUGUAA
rnacentral:rRNA from 1 species